GGAGAGGUGGCAGAGCGGUUGAUUGCACCGGUCUUGAAAACCGGCGCCGGGGCAACCCGGCCGUGGGUUCGAAUCCCACCCUCUCCGCCA
rnacentral:tRNA from 2 species